GACAGAGGGUGCAACCGUUGUUCGGAAUUACUGGGCGUAAAGCGUGUGUAGGCGGCUUCGUAAGUCGGAUGUGAAAGCCCCGGGCUCAACCCGGGAAGUGCACUCGAUACUGCGAAGCUUGAGUACUGGAGAGGUUGGUGGAAUUCUCGGUGUAGAGGUGAAAUUCGUAGAUAUCGAGAGGAACACCGGUGGCGAAGGCGGCCAACUGGACAGAUACUGACGCUGAGACACGAAAGCGUGGGGAUCAAACAGG
rnacentral:rRNA from 1 species